UGACUUCCAAUGAAUGUCCAUAUGACUUCAAGAUUACAUGUCUGGUCUGCAAAACGUAAAAUGUCCCGCUCUCCAUUUUUUAAGAUGGUUUCAGUUAAUUACUGCACCUAGUCCCCUUCACUACAUUCUCAAAGGUAAACCGGGUGAUCUGCGUAUUUGCACGCCUAGACUAACUGCAUAUGUACGCUUUAAUUACUUUUCUCUGUUCGAUACAUAUUCCUAUUGUACG
rnacentral:lncRNA from 1 species